GAAAAUUUUGAUUGGCUUCGAUUUUGUACUCAAUCUCGAUGAUAUAUUUACACUUCAGUUGGACGUUCAGUGAUGAAUGUACUGGAAUUGAAGUUAGUGUUUUGAUGAGUGGGAUCAGAUUAUCCGUUUUAAUAAUCUUGAGUCUGUUCUUGUUUUCAGUUAAUCACGUUUAAUAAUUAGAUUCUAGAUAUCGUUAAUUGGCUUUUAGGAAUUUAGGUUUUUUAGCUAAUUUAUUUUACAGGGAGGAGUCAUUGUACUUUAGUGGAUGCAGGCGAUGAGUAAUAAGUCCAAAGUCCUGAAAAUAGUAAACUUUUCCCAACAGGUUAAAAUGCUUCAGUUUUCUGUAGUUUUUUUUUUUUAAUUACUGCUUUUAAGAAUUGUGAAAAUUUUCUAUGGCAUCUCAAUGUGUGAGAGUCUGAUUCCAGCUUUUAUACAUACAAUCAACUAUUACGGCAUAAUAAAGGUAUAUCUCUGACCUUUGGCCUUGUAGAGAUCUUUGGAGAGUUAAGUGUUACAUAGGUUGGUCAUUGCUGGAAAAUGAACAAGGUCUUCCUGAACUGGGGGUUUAAUGAUUUUUCCAGAAUGGCGAACAUGGAUAUGUACAUUUUAUUUUUAUUUAUUUAGGACAAGGUUUUAAUGAUGAUGGUUAGAUAACCUAUUGCUUUGUCUAAUUAGCAAUUGAUAGUUUAAGAGAAUGAUCUCAGCAUAUGAGAAUUGCCACUGGGAAUCAUUGCCCAUGUGUUGGGUGCAGGUCAUCAGGUGGAUGCACUGGAGUGGUGUUUGGUUGAGACUUGAGAUACAUCCAGAAGUUUGGCCAUUAGCUGUUUUGUUAGAAUGAAAGAUUUUCAUUUUUUGCUACUUAUUGUGAAAUAUUGUUGAUUAUGCAAUUCCUCAAAAUCUUCUAAUUAAUAAAUUUAAUUGUUUUAUUGCAGUUAGAUGCUGCUGCUCCUGUUCUUGCCGAAUUGAAAGAGCCUAUAGUUAUAGCAAAAGUAAAUGCUGACAAGUAUACACGUCUUGCUAGCAAAUAUGAUGUUGAUGGAUAUCCUACCCUCAAAAUCUUUAUGCAUGGUGUUCCUGUAGACUACUAUGGACCGAGGAAAGCAGAUUUACUUGUUCGUUAUCUGAGGAAAUUUGUUGCUCCCGAUGUUGCCAUACUUAGUUCCGACCUUGCUAUAAAAGAUUUUGUUGAAGCAGCUGGCACUAACUUCCCUAUAUUUAUAGGUUUUGGCAUGAAUGAGACAGUGAUAUCAACUUUAGGCUUAAAGUAUAAGAAAAAUGCUUGGUUUUCUGUAGCAAAUGAUUUUUCGGAGGACGUCAUGGUACGCUAUGAUUUUGACAAGGUUCCUGCUUUGGUAGUCCUUCAUCCUAGUUACAAUGAGCAGAGCAUCUUUUAUGGCCCCUUUGAAGAGAAAUUUUUGGAGGACUUCAUAAAACAAAAUUUUCUUCCUCCAGCUGUGCCCAUGAACCAUGAUACACUGAAGAUAUUGAAACAUGAUGAGAGAAAAAUUGUCUUGACCAUCAUGGAGGAUGAAUCUGAUGAAAAAUCACAAAAACUGAUCAAGUUACUGAAAGCUGCUGCAUCUGCAAAUCGUGACUUGGUAUUUGGUUAUGUUGGCCUCAAACAAUGGGAAGACUUUGCUGAAACAUUUGGUGCCAAUAAGGAUUCAAAACUGCCAAAAAUGGUUGUUUGGGAUGGAGAUGAGGAGUAUCUCUCAGUUAUUGGUUUAGACAGCAUAGAAGAGGAAGACCAGGGAUCUCAAAUCACACAUUUUGUUGAAGGAUACAGAAAAGGACAAACGAUAGUGAAAAAAGUCAGUGGUCCAUCAUUUAUGGGCUUUAUCAAUUCGCUAAUUGGCAUCAGAACUGUGUACAUAAUUGUGUUUUUGGUUGCAAUGCUAAUGCUUAUUCAAAGCAUUGGCAAAGAGGAACCUCUACGGGUUGGUACUCGAGACCAGGUUGACGAAGUCGCUAGUUCGGCAGCUGAAAGCUCCGAGUACAGACCAGGAGACAAGCAAGAUUAGGUUGGAUAUUGCAUUGGUAAGGAUACGUUUUGAGACGAAGUUCCAGUGGAGAAAGAGAUGGCAGACUGACUCCCCAGCUUCCCUUAUCCUGCUGCUAUAGAGAAUGAUUUAUGUCCAGAGCACUCAUGUGCCCUAGUAGGACUUUCUGUUUUGAGAACCAAUGUUCAAUCAGACAUGAAUUUUUUCAUACAACAGUUAAUAUUGUGAUUUGUGUUUAGGUGUAAAAGGUCUUUGUAUUUAUUUUUGUUGAUGAUGCCUAUGAUAAAUCUUACCGAUUUACGGCCUAUUUGCUUUAGUUAUCGAAUACAACUGGUAAAUCUUAUUGUUUCUG
rnacentral:misc_RNA from 1 species